rnacentral:tRNA from 1 species
GCAGUGGUGGUUCAGCGGUAGAAUUCUCACCUCACACGUGGGAGACAUAGGUUUGAUUCCUGGCCAGUGCU